rnacentral:rRNA from 1 species
GGACGGAGGAUGCAAGGUGUUAUCCGGGAAUCACUGGGCGUAAAGCGUCUGUAGGUGGUUCAAUAAGUCAACUGUUAAAUCUUCGAGGCUCAACUUCAAAAUCGCAGUCGAAACUAUUGGACUCGAGUAUAGUAGGGGUAAAGGGAAUUUCCAGUGGAGCGGUGAAAUGCGUAGAGAUUGGAAAGAACACCAAUGGCGAAAGCACUUUACUGGGCUAUUACUGACACUGAGAGACGAAAGCU